ACUUUGCUGCAGGAAUUCCAUUUUGCCUUGUAACUGCAAGCACCAUGCAGCAAUCAGAGCAGGGAUGUUUGCUGUACUGCACACGGAAACAAGCCUGGAGAAGGCUGUUCCCUUCUCAUCCAAAAAGGAACAGCUAAAAGCUAUGGCUGGAGUUUGAGAGUCUUUAGUGAAAGUGGCCUGCAUCAUUUCAGCAGGACUUGCCAUAGUCAUAGCCAUUUGCUGUGAUCUGGCCUGCCAGGAGGCCCCUGUACACCUGUGUCUUUCACUGUGAUCAAUGGUACUUUUACAAGGGUUGUCAUAUGGCUAAUAAAAUGUAUUUAAACACUUAAAAUCAUUAGAUGGUGGAUCUCUCACAGAAGAAGUUACCUUUUCCUUCAGAUAGAAGCCACUUCACACAGAAGAAACCAGAAGUGAUGGAGUCUGACCACCCAAUUUUGACAUAAAAAUGAAUUAACUGUUACAGGUGGGGUCUGGCAAUGACAUCACAAAACCUUAUAGCAAUGCUAAAAGACAGAGCUAGGAGAGCAAACAGCCCUGCCCAAGCUAUCUGGGACUGUCACAGAGGGGUGGAGCUACUGGGGAAGGCAGGAGUGGAUGGGUGGGUACCUGCCCCAGCACAGGAGUGGGAAGUGCAAGGGUGCUGGUUCAGUCCCUUCCCUUCUCCAGAAAGGGAAGCUGCCGGAGGAAUCAAGCUGCUGGAGGAAUGGCAGAAGAAAAGAGGCCAGAGAAGCGAUAAAAACUAGAUGACUCCACUGCCACAUGGACUGCAAACAUGGAAGAAAUGUCAUGACUGGGCCAGCAAGUUUGUCAUUGACCACAACACAGAAACCAUCUUUAACUGCCAGGAAAUCAGACGCUGUGCUCUGCCAGGGAAGCAGAGCCAGAGGAAGGGAAGAGCAGGUCCUGCCUGGCCCUAAUGCUGCCUCUCUCCUCAAGGAUGCUGCCCUGAAGCCCAGGACUACUAAGCCACAAGUGGUCCUUCCACGUGACGGAUAUCCAAGCUUCAUGUGUAGGAGAGAAGGGCAGGAACUGAGGCACAGCAGUAACGGCACACAAGGACCAGCCAGUAAAACCAGAAGGAAGGAUCAGUAUUCCGCAUUACUGAUCUAUGAGCAAAGAAAUCAUGUUAGGAUCAAUGCAUGGGCAUUGAUGGGCAAAAGAGAUUCUCUCCGUGCUCCAUGCCCAAUGGAAAAGCUGCUCUCAAAUCACACUUGAGGUAAGACACAUUUAAAGGCCCACUUGCACAACACGUGCUCAACACAGUGUGCUUGUUGUCUCCCUCCACAAAUUCCAGCUGUCCUGUGUAAUACAAAAGGAAUUAAAGGACAGCAAAAAUGUAUAAGUUAGAAAAGUCACUGGCUGCACAAGUGUGAUUUCUUCCAGGAGUAGUUUUUAUCUCUAAGUCUGUGAUCAGACUUAGAAGAAUGUUCACACUGCCUCACUUCCAGGUGUAAGUGGGAUACUCUGGCCUUUGCUUGGACAGGCUGUCUCCCCUGAUGAACAAGAGCUAGGAGUCUACACUCCUUACUGAGGCCCCAGAGUUACAGAGCAUUAGUACCACUGUAGGAUUGUAAUGUCUCUCCACGCCCAGGCUGAAGGGCCAAGCUUGUGCCCAUCUGCUCCCUCCAGUCCUACUCAGGGAAAAGCCAGGAAUGGGACCCCAGGUGACCAUUACGCCUGGCCACCAGAACAUGGUAUCUACAGUGAGCAGGUCUCUGAGGGCACAGAAGCCUCCCAGUACUUUGAAAUACGCAGCUUUGCACAGGAAAGUGGAAGCAGAGGUUCUCCACUCUGAGGUCUUGCAAUGGCAAAGCCCAAAGAGAAAUGGGGUGUGGGGAUUUUACAAGGAGUUAUGAAGUCAU